GAGCGGUGGAGGCAAGAGAUGGUGGCGAGGGAGGAGAGGAGAGACAGGGAGGCAGCAGCGAGCCAGCAGCAGGCUGCUGCCAGAGAUGAGCGGCUGUUGGCCAUUUUGGAGGCUCUGGCCAAAAAAUGACUCUUUCAGUUUUUUUGUUUUGUUUUUGUUGUUGUUGUAACAUUUGAAAUUAAUUAAAUUGAUUUUGCUUUCAGUUUGGUGUUAUUUUUGUGGUUAUUUUUAGUAAUGUUCAGCGUCAGUUGUUACAGUUGUUAUUUCGAACAUGUAUGUUUGACUUGCUAUGAAACUUCUAAAUCAAUUGACAGGUGAAAUUGUUGGGUGGCCUGUUGGGUGGCCUGGCAAGAAAAUCUACAGGAUUUUAUGACGGGUGUCAUUAUAACGGUAAAAUCAAUGCCAUUAUAUUUCAAAUUCUAAUCUUGAUUCUAACCUUACAACAUUUUGUAUUCCUCUAAUAAUUUCUUGUUACACAUUUGUCAUUGAGUGUGUGUGUGAGUGAGUGUGUGUUUUGAAAUGUAUGCGUGGGCAGGUCCGAAACAUUUUGCAGUGCAGACCUCUACUGGGCCCGACACCAACUGGUUCCUCUUCUCUGACUUCUGCAGGACGGUACCAUUUUAUGACGACGUUCAAAACAUUCUGCAAUCCGGAACAUCUGCUGAGCCCCAGACACAGCACCUACUGGUUCCUCUUCUCUAACUUCUGCAGGACCAAUAUCAUUUUCUGACAAGGAGGAAAAAGACUGCACGCAGACAGUUGGCCUAGAAACAACUCGGAGUACAGAAACAGCAGAGCCGGUCAAUACCACAUCCCCACAGGAGGACAGCAGCAGCUCCACAGCACCGGAAAUGACACUACAGGCCCGAAAGAUUCUGCCAUUCUGAACCUCAUCUGGGCCCCAGACACUGUACCAGCCUCCACCUCCUCUGCGCCGUCCCCCUGCUCCUCAUCCCCAGGCUGGUCCUCAUCUGGCUCAUCUGGCUCAUCUGGCUCAACGGGCUCCAAAAUGUCCCCCUGGCUCAGGGCGAUGUUGUGAAGGAUGGUACAGCAGGUUAUGAUUUCUGGUGCAUAAUAAAUGCUUACCACCAGCGUCGUCUGGAAAAUUGCUCGCCACCUUGCCUUUAGGACUCCAAAUGACCUCUCGACCACGACCCGGGCCUUG